AUUCCAGCUCCAAUAGCGUAUAUUAAAGUUGUUGCGGUUAAAAAGCUCGUAGUUGGAGUUCUGCCAGGUGCCACCUGUCCGCCCCAGUGGUGAGUACGUGGUGCGCAUUUGGCCCUUUCAAGGGGAGCGUAUUUGCACUUAAUUGUGUGGUGCGGGAUCCUUGACUUUUACUUUGAGGAAAUAAGAGUGUUCCAAGCAGGCUCUCGUCGUGCAUAGCUCAGCAUGGAAUAAUAGCAUUGGACCUCGAUUCUAAGCUGUUGGUUGCCAGAAGCGAGGUAAUGAUGAAGAGGGAUAGUUGGGGGCAUUCGUAUUUAACUGUCAGAGGUGACAUUCUUGGAUUCGCUCAAGACUAACUUAUGCGAAAGCAUUCACCAAGGAUGUCUUCAUCA
rnacentral:rRNA from 1 species